UGAGGAAUAUUGGUCAAUGGUCGGCAGACUGAACCAGCCAAGUCGCGUGAGGGAAGACGGCCCUACGGGUUGUAAACCUCUUUUGUCGGAGAGUAAAGUACGCUACGUGUAGCGUAUUGCAAGUAUCCGAAGAAAAAGCAUCGGCUAACUCCGUGCCAGCAGCCGCGGUAAUACGGAGGAUGCGAGCGUUAUCCGGAUUUAUUGGGUUUAAAGGGUGCGUAGGCGGCACGCCAAGUCAGCGGUGAAAUUUUCGGGCUCAACCCGGACUGUGCCGUUGAAACUGGCGAGCUAGAGUGCACAAGAGGCAGGCGGAAUGCGUGGUGUAGCGGUGAAAUGCAUAGAUAUCACGCAGAACCCCGAUUGCGAAGGCAGCCUGCUAGGGUGCGACAGACGCUGAGGCACGAAAGCGUGGGUAUCGAACAGGAUUAGAUACCCUGGUAGUCCACGCAGUAAACGAUGAAUACUAACUGUUUGCGAUACAAUGUAAGCGGUACAGCGAAAGCGUUAAGUAUUCCACCUGGGGAGUACGCCGGCAACGGUGAAACUCAAAGGAAUUGACGGGGGCCCGCACAAGCGGAGGAACAUGUGGUUUAAUUCGAUGAUACGCGAGGAACCUUACCCGGGCUCAAACGCAGGGGGAAUAUAUAUGAAAGUAUAUAGCUAGCAAUAGUCACCUGCGAGGUGCUGCAUGGUUGUCGUCAGCUCGUGCCGUGAGGUGUCGGCUUAAGUGCCAUAACGAGCGCAACCCCUAUCGACAGUUACUAACGGGUGAAGCCGAGGACUCUGUCGAGACUGCCGGCGCAAGCCGCGAGGAAGGUGGGGAUGACGUCAAAUCAGCACGGCCCUUACGUCCGGGGCGACACACGUGUUACAAUGGCAGGUACAGAAGGCAGCCAGUCAGCAAUGACGCGCGAAUCCCGAAAACCUGUCUCAGUUCGGAUUGGAGUCUGCAACCCGACUCCAUGAAGCUGGAUUCGCUAGUAAUCGCGCAUCAGCCAUGGCGCGGUGAAUACGUUCCC
rnacentral:rRNA from 1 species